GGGGCCUUAGCUCAGCCGGGAGAGCGCUACGAUGGCAUUGUAGAGGUCAACGGUUCGAUCCCGUUAGGCUCCACCA
rnacentral:tRNA from 1 species